rnacentral:tRNA from 1 species
GGAGGGAUGGCCGAGUGGUUUAAGGCGGCGGUCUUGAAAACCGCUGACCGUAAGGUCCGUGGGUUCGAAUCCUACUCCCUCCGCCA